rnacentral:misc_RNA from 1 species
GAUGAAGAACGUAGCGAAAUGCGGUACUUGGUGUGAAUUGCAGAAUCCCGUGAACCAUCGAGUCUUUGAACGCAAGUUGCGCCCGAAGCCAUUAGGCCGAGGGCACGCCUGCCUGGGCGUCACACGUCGUUGCCCCCCCAUCUACUCCUUCGGGAUUGCGGGGGGCGGAUGAUGGCCUCCCGUGCGCCUCGUCGCGCGGUUGGCAUAAAUGCCAAGUCCUCGGCGACGCACGCCACGACAAUCGGUGGUUGCGAAACCUCGGUUGCCCGUCGUGUGCGGUCGUCGCGCAUCGAGGGCUCGAAAAAAUUGCCGGGCUCCGGCUCGGCUUUCAACGCGACCCCAGGUCAGGCGGGGUUACCCGCUGAAUUUAAGCAUAUCAAUAAGCGGAGGA